rnacentral:rRNA from 1 species
GGGUUGUGAGGUUAAGCGACUAAGCGUACACGGUGGAUGCCCUGGCAGUCAGAGGCGAUGAAGGGCGUGCUAAUCUGCGAUAAGCGCCGGUAAGGUGAUAUGAACCGUUAUAACCGGCGAUACCCGAAUGGGGAAACCCAGUGUGAUUCGUCACACUAUCAUUAACUGAAUCCAUAGGUUAAUGAGGCGAACCGGGGGAACUGAAACAUCUAAGUACCCCGAGGAAAAGAAAUCAACCGAGAUUCCCCCAGUAGCGGCGAGCGAACGGGGAGGAGCCCAGAGCCUGAAUCAGCAUGUGUGUUAGUGGAAGCGUCUGGAAAGGCGCGCGAUACAGGGUGACAGCCCCGUACACAAAAGCGCAUGUGCUGUGAGCUCGAUGAGUAGGGCGGGACACGUGGUAUCCUGUCUGAAUAUGGGGGGACCAUCCUCCAAGGCUAAAUACUCCUGACUGACCGAUAGUGAACCAGUACCGUGAGGGAAAGGCGAAAAGAACCCCGGCGAGGGGAGUGAAAAAGAACCUGAAACCGUGUACGUACAAGCAGUGGGAGCACCCUUCGGGGUGUGACUGCGUACCUUUUGUAU